rnacentral:lncRNA from 1 species
UGGAAUAAUUUGGAUGAUAAUGAAGAUUUUUGUUGAACUACACGUGGAGAACAAGUUUCAACCAUAUUUUCAACACUCUUGCUGCUGCAUCUUUAAAAAUAAAAAUAAAAUAUUAUUUUUAAACUAAUUUUAACCAUGAUAUUUUUAACCUUAUUUUUAACCAUGGCAAGCAACAUUUAUGAAGAUUAUAUCAAGAACGAAGUUCAUGCACGUGAUAUGAAGAGAAGACGGAUCAAGUGAAGAAAAUCAAGCCAAAAAG